GGCUUAGAGUUUGAUCAUGGCUCAGGAUGAACGCUAGCGACAGGCUUAACACAUGCAAGUCGAGGGGCAGCACAGGUAGCAAUACCGGGUGGCGACCGGCGCACGGGUGAGUAACGCGUAUGCAACUUACCUAUCAGAGGGGGAUAACCCGGCGAAAGUCGGACUAAUACCGCAUGAAGCAGGGGCCCCGCAUGGGGAUAUUUGCUAAAGAUUCAUCGCUGAUAGAUAGGCAUGCGUUCCAUUAGGCAGUUGGCGGGGUAACGGCCCACCAAACCGACGAUGGAUAGGGGUUCUGAGAGGAAGGUCCCCCACAUUGGUACUGAGACACGGACCAAACUCCUACGGGAGGCAGCAGUGAGGAAUAUUGGUCAAUGGGCGUAAGCCUGAACCAGCCAAGUCGCGUGAGGGAUGAAGGUUCUAUGGAUCGUAAACCUCUUUUAUAAGGGAAUAAAGUGUGGGACGUGUCCUAUUUUGUAUGUACCUUAUGAAUAAGGAUCGGCUAACUCCGUGCCAGCAGCCGCGGUAAUACGGAGGAUCCGAGCGUUAUCCGGAUUUAUUGGGUUUAAAGGGUGCGUAGGCGGCCUUUUAAGUCAGCGGUGAAAGUCUGUGGCUCAACCAUAGAAUUGCCGUUGAAACUGGGGGGCUUGAGUAUGUUUGAGGCAGGCGGAAUGCGUGGUGUAGCGGUGAAAUGCUUAGAUAUCACGCAGAACCCCGAUUGCGAAGGCAGCCUGCCAAGCCAUGACUGACGCUGAUGCACGAAAGCGUGGGGAUCAAACAGGAUUAGAUACCCUGGUAGUCCACGCAGUAAACGAUGAUCACUAGCUGUUUGCGAUACAGUGUAAGCGGCACAGCGAAAGCGUUAAGUGAUCCAC
rnacentral:rRNA from 1 species